UCCAAACUUCGUGUCCAACCUCCCACAAGAAAUGAUCCUUUUAUAAGGAACCCGAUAUGUCUCAAUCUGCACUUCAGUCAAAGCCUCUGGAUAUAGGGCACUGGUCCCUGCUCAAAAAUAACUCCACCAAAACGCCUUUCCACCUAAAAACCAUGAAUGACUCCCAGGGAAGACAUGUAUCUCCCAUAAUUAAAGGCGGCAGCACUCUGAGGGGAAUGGAGCCUGGAGGAAAAGAAGAGGAAGGGGGGGAACGAAAAAAAAAGGAGGUGUGUGGGGCAGCAGAGAGCGAGAGGGAUUUUUAUUUCUGUGUUGGCUGCACCGGGCCGAGAUUAGCAGCAGGUUUAUCAAGACGAGCCUCUGUGGCAGCUCCGGGUGCGUGGGGAGAACGCGACAGCUCACGAGGAGCAGAGAAGAGGAGAGAUUAAGGAGCAGAGUCUAACUCCGAGAAAAGAGUGUGCUUCCCUCUACACGAAUGCUUUCCCUGCUUCUACAGGAACUCACGUUUAUUUCCUCUCCUCCCAAAAUCACAGAUGUUUAUUUUAUUGAUGUAACCUAUACCUUGGUUGUGCCAGGAAUAAUAUGCCUCUACUAAAAAUCAUUUAGCAAAUAAUAGAGGCGUUCUGGAUGGUUUCCAAUUUACAUAUGUACUUGGUCAUAAUAUAUUAUGUAAAAAAAUAACAUCUGCUUUCCUAAAAUAAAGUGUUACAAGUAACUUUUAAAGAAUGUUUCCCUCAUUUUAAAAAGAAAUAGGUAGACAUAAACUGGAAUCCAUAUGUAUAGCAUAUUUACAAUGGGUUUAAGAUUUGAAGGUAGUCAUUCAUUGCGUAAGCCAUUCAGAACCGACGUUUUAAAAGCUACUUAACCUCAGGCAUUCUUGAAUCUUAAAGGAUUCCCAACGAUAUUAUUUAUAGAGGAAUUUGCUGAAAUUUAAUUGCGUAUCAAGACGGAAAUGUGAGCAGGUAUUUUACGUUUAGGCCACCUCGGAUGCUGUGUUUAAUACUGCUCCAACUCAGAUUUUAUUCUCCUGCGUCCUCAAAAGUCUUCCUCUUCUCUUCAGAUCGGAUGCCCAGAAGGUGCGAUCCCUCCUCUUUCUCCUUCCUCAGCUUCCACCUUUGUCUAGGGGAUGCAGCCGGUGCUUCCCGGCGAUCCUCACACACGGGCUAUUUUACCAAGUUUGUCCUUCGUAUGGAGAGGAAGACGGGGUCUGCAAGCACCCACGUCUCUUCGCUCUGUCUGCAGUAAAAGGCCAGAGCCACUGCCGAUGAGCCACCGGAGUGUUUUGCAAAUGUUCUCUGUACCCAAAAGGAGCCUCUACUGUUUCCCCCCGGAAAGGGCUUCGAGAGUGUGAAAUGAAGGACACAAUGGUGGUGGCCACCAUGAAGAAGUGGCCUUUUAAUGACUACUAAAGAAAACCAAAAUGUAGCUGAAAUGUACCGCAAAAGCUGCUUCAAAGUACAAUCUAAUUCCGCUGAGUUCAGUCAUCAGAUAGAUCUGGUAAUUGGGAGUUGCACAGAGGCAAGGCAGCAUGGUAUGGAGAACCUUGUGCUUCUUCCCUUCAGUAACUGUAGAUAUAUUUCACAGACUGCAUUAGCACAAACCCGUGGGAUAUUAGAGAUCUCUGACUCCUGCAAAUAAAUGAAGACCCAGUCUUCACCAUAACAAAAAAAAAAAAAAAAAAAAAACAACAAACCAAACCAAACCAAA